AGUGAACGCUGGCGGUAGGCCUAACACAUGCAAGUCGAACGGCAGCACAGUAAGAGCUUGCUCUUACGGGUGGCGAGUGGCGGACGGGUGAGGAAUACAUCGGAAUCUACUUUUUCGUGGGGGAUAACGUAGGGAAACUUACGCUAAUACCGCAUACGACCUACGGGUGAAAGCAGGGGAUCUUCGGACCUUGCGCGAUUGAAUGAGCCGAUGUCGGAUUAGCUAGUUGGCGGGGUAAAGGCCCACCAAGGCGACGAUCCGUAGCUGGUCUGAGAGGAUGAUCAGCCACACUGGAACUGAGACACGGUCCAGACUCCUACGGGAGGAAGCAGUGGGGAAUAUUGGACAAUGGGCGCAAGCAUGAUCCAGCCAUACCGCGUGGGUGAAGAAGGCCUUCGGGUUGUAAAGCCCUUUUGUUGGGAAAGAAAAGCAGCAGGUUAAUACCCCGCUGUUCUGACGGUACCCAAAGAAUAAGCACCGGCUAACUUCGUG
rnacentral:rRNA from 1 species